rnacentral:rRNA from 1 species
ACGCUGGCGGCACGCCUAACACAUGCAAGUCGAACGCAGUAGCAAUACUGAGUGGCAGACGGGUGAGUAUAAUGUGGGAAUCUGCCUUUUGGUUCAGAAUAACUCGGGGAAACUUGAGCUAAUACUGGAUAAGCCCUUACGGGGAAAGAUUUAUCGCCAAAAGAUGAGCCCGCACUUGAUUAGCUAGUUGGUGAGGUAAUUGCUCACCAAGGCAACAAUCAAUAGCUGUUCUUAGAGGAAGACCAGCCACAUUGGGACUGAGACACGGCCCAGACUCCUACGGGAGGCAGCAGUGGGGAAUCUUGCACAAUGGGGGAAACCCUGAUGCAGCGAUGCCGCGUGAGUGAAGAAGGCCUUUGGGUUGUAAAACUCUUUCGUCGGGGAAGAAAAUGACUGUACCCGAAUAAGAAGGUCCGGCUAACUUCGUGCCAGCAGCCGCGGUAAUACGAAGGGACCUAGCGUAGUUCGGAAUUACUGGGCUUAAAGAGCUCGUAGGUGGUUAAAAAAGUUGGUGGUGAAAUCCCAAGGCUUAACCUUGGAACUGCCAUCAAAACUUUUUAGCUUGAGUGUGAUAGAGGAAAGUGGAAUUUCUAGUGUAGAGGUGAAAUUCGUAGAUAUUAGAAAGAACACCAAAUGCGAAGGCAACUUUCUGGAUCACUACUGACACUGAGGAGCGAAAGCAUGGGUAGCGAAGAGGAUUAGAUACCCUCGUAGUCCAUGCUGUAAACGAUGUGUGCUAGACGUUGGAAAUUUUAUUUUCAGUGUCGCAGCAAAAGCGUUAAGCACACCGCCUGGGGAGUACGACC